GAGUUUGAUCUUGGCUCAGAGCGAACGCUGGCGGCAGGCUUAACACAUGCAAGUCGAGCGGGCGUAGCAAUACGUCAGCGGCAGACGGGUGAGUAACGCGUGGGAACGUACCUUUUGGUUCGGAACAACACAGGGAAACUUGUGCUAAUACCGGAUAAGCCCUUACGGGGAAAGAUUUAUCGCCAAAAGAUCGGCCCGCGUCUGAUUAGCUAGUUGGUGAGGUAACGGCUCACCAAGGCGACGAUCAGUAGCUGGUCUGAGAGGAUGAUCAGCCACAUUGGGACUGAGACACGGCCCAAACUCCUACGGGAGGCAGCAGUGGGGAAUAUUGGACAAUGGGCGCAAGCCUGAUCCAGCCAUGCCGCGUGAGUGAUGAAGGCCCUAGGGUUGUAAAGCUCUUUUGUGCGGGAAGAUAAUGACGGUACCGCAAGAAUAAGCCCCGGCUAACUUCGUGCCAGCCGCCGCGGUAAU
rnacentral:rRNA from 1 species